GGAGAGGUGCUGGAGUGGUCGAUCAGGUACGCCUGGAAAGCGUAUGUAGUGAAAGCUACCGUGGGUUCGAAUCCCACCCUCUCCGCCA
rnacentral:tRNA from 1 species